rnacentral:rRNA from 1 species
GAUGAACGCUGGCGGCGUGCCUAACACAUGCAAGUCGAGCGAGGAAAGAUAGCUUGCUAUCAAUCCUAGCGGCGGACGGGUGAGUAACGCGUGGGUAACCUGCCCUAUACACAUGGAUAACAUACCGAAAGGUACGCUAAUACAAGAUGAAACAUUGAUAAGGCAUCUUAUUAAUGUCAAAGCCUUGGCGGUAUAGGAUGGGCCCGCGUCCCAUUAGUUAGUUGGUGAGGUAACGGCUCACCAAGACCACGAUGGGUAGCCGACCUGAGAGGGUGAUCGGCCACACUGGAACUGAGACACGGUCCAGACUCCUACGGGAGGCAGCAGUGGGGAAUAUUGCACAAUGGGCGAAAGCCCGAUGCAGCAACGCCGCGUGAGCGAUGAAGGCCUUCGGGUCGUAAAGCUCUGUCCUCAAGGAAGAAUUUUGACGGUACUUGAGGAGGAAGCCCCGGCUAACUACGUGCCAGCCGCCGCCGUAAAAC